GGAUUUUUGUUUCCUUUUUCACUGGUUGAAAAAAAUGAAGAAAAAAAUCUAACUUUAUUUUGCACAAUCGAUUGACAGCAAAGAUGCUAUAACUUUUUUUAAUAGAAAAAUAAAGUAACACAUUGUUUCAUGAAGCUGUUGCUGGAUUUGUUAUUCUCUAUUCUUAAAAAAAUAACAUUUUAGGUAUCUCUCAGCCCUAUUUUUUUGUCAAAGCACCACGUGCUGCACGAUCAAUGAGACUCGGCAAACAGCCUAAUAAACUAUUCACAAAUAAAAUUUGGCCAGUGGCACAUGUUGAAUUCUUGCUUGUUGGGCUUUUGUAUUAUUAGUAACAGUUUUGGAACCUAUAGCAUGUAUACAUUAAGUUGCAAAAUAUGUUCAAGUACAUGCAUUUUUACGCAUAACAAGUAUGAUUUUCUCAAAUUUAGAUAAGUUGAAGUUAUGAAGUGUGAAUAUGGAGAGUAUUAAGAUAUCUAAAAUACUUUUAUUUAACAUUCCUCCUGACAUCUUUUUUCUAGGAGACAUCGGGGGGGGGUGCACCAUUUGAAGCGCAAAGUCGAGAAAUGAUAAUCAGAUAACAGGUGCAGGGGUGUGGAUGUAUUAAAAAAUAAUAAAUAAAUAAUUUCAAAAAAGAACAGUACGCGCAGACGCUCAGCAUCCCAUUGGCUGCCAGAAUUUUCCAAGAGUGGUCUCUGAUCCGCUGCGCUCCCGACUCACUCCAUCUGGGCAGCAGACGGCCCGUCAUGCUGAGGAACAGCGCGUCCAGGUCAGUGUCUCAUCCAACCACUCCUCCUAACGACAACUAUUCAGCCGCUGAGGAUGAGCGUCUGCCGCUGCAGCACUAGCUGCUCCGACAGACACUGAUUAGUGUUCAAAUCCUGCAUAGCUGUGCUCUGCUCUGUCUGUGCCGGCGGACGCUGCGUACUCUCCGCUGCUGCUGCCGGGCUAUAAGCCUGAUAUCUGCGUGUUUAAGUUUAAAUACCGCUCUUCCAGGAACAUGCACCAGGGAGAGGAGCCCAAGCUGCGCAACGGGAGCCUGGCGCGGGAGAGGAGGCACCUUGCUCUGCACAUCAACAGCCAGGAAAAAGUAAAGAGAUGUAACCGCUGCCAUAGCCACAGUGGAGGGCAAGCAGUUCGCAAAG
rnacentral:lncRNA from 1 species